GAGAUUCCUAAUAUCUUCUCGUGGAGCCAAUUGUGCAAGUGCAAAAAGGAUGGAGCUUAUGUGUAUCUAUCUAGCUGAAUUGAGCUUGCUAGACUACGACUGCAUAAGGUUCUUGCCAUCAGUUAUUGCUGUUGCCUGUCUGUUCUUAGCCAGGUUCACAGUCAGCCCAAAGACUCGUCCUUGGGUAAGAUUAAUCAAAAUUUGCUGAAUCGUUGAACCGACAUUAAUCUUCGCUUUGUGUUUUUCUGACAUUUGCGUCUGCUAGGACCUGACUCUGCAAGAGAACACAAGCUACAAGGUCUCUAAUCUCAAGAGUUGCAUCUUGAGGAUACACGAAUUGCAGUUGGGCAGACAGUAUUUAAAUCUGAAGGCCAUCAGGAGCAAGUAUAACGAGCGCAAGUUCGGGUGUGUGUCGAUGAUGGCCUCGUCAGAAGAAAUUCCUGCAUCUUUCCUCGAAGACCUCGAUAAGUGAAUGGUUGACAAUGUCGUUUGAUUUCGACAUAAGAUGGAAGCAGGGAGCGGGUCCCUUUUUUUGGGGGAAAAAAGGGGGUUAAAGGGCUGAUUUGCUCAUGCAGCAUCUUUUCCAGUCUAAGGCAGAAAAUUCAUUAUUAGCGAAUUAGGGGUUGACCUAGCAAGAAUUUUUCAUGCCCACCUGUAGGUAGUUAGUCGCGCCAUUUUGGUUGCAUUUACAGUGCAGCUAUCAAGCUGCAUUUGUAAUCUGGUAUCAACGUGUGACCGAGAUGUUUUUGUACAGAGGCUAGCAUGUUGGUGGUGCCGUGGUCAAUGUGACACAAUGAUAAAAUUCUUCUUGAAAGCUCUGGGGCAAUGUUUUUGUUG